UGGAGCCCUCGUGGUCCUCGUCUGAGUCCGUGCCUGAGUCCUGACACCCCUUGCCUGAGAGGUAAAAGGGGCUGUCAAUUUCCCUUCCACCUCCUCACUUUAAGUUCAUCUUCAUGGGUUAGAUCCAAUGGGGAAUCUACAGAAUCCCUGUGGGAUGCAGAAACAGAACUUUUCAGUGCAACAAUGUCUCUGGAAAACUUCCACAUUUCCAGGAUUAUCUGCUUUGAUAACCGAGACACCAGACCAGCUGUGGGACAAGUGGGUGGACCGCCUUCCCUGUUUUACAGCCCUGGGCCCAAUGUUACUGUUGAUGAGCAGCUUAUGCUAUUUAGGGGCCGCUGCUCCAUCAGGCAGUACAUACCGUCUAAACCCACAAAAAAAUGGAAUCAAGAUCUGGGCUGCCUGUGAUGCUGCUUCAUCACAUGUGUGGAACUUGCAAGUGUAUACGGGGAAGCCAGAUAGAGAAGCCCCUGAGAAGAACCAAGGGAUUUGAGUUGUCCUGGACAUGACACAGGGACUCUGUGGCCACAAGAUCACAAACUUUUUUACUUCACACAAGCUGGGACAGGAGCUCCUAAAGAUGAAGCUGACAAUGGUAGGAACAGUACAAAAAACAAGCCAGAGCUCCCACCUCAACUGUUGACUACACAGAACAGGCCUGUCAACCCCAGCCUCUCUAGCCAUUGUGAGGAGGAUUCAGGAGGAGGAUGCUGGUGCCCCAUCCGCCUGACCCACAGAACCACCAACUGCAGUACCUGAACACUGACCCACUGAGGCAUGGACUCUGCAAGACCC